GCCGGGCGUGGUAGCUCACGCCUGUAAUCCCAGCACUUCGGGAGGCUGAGGCAGGCGGAUCACCUGAGGUCAGGAGUUCGAGACCAGCCUGACCAACAUGGUGAAACUCUGUCUCUA
ensembl:misc_RNA Metazoa_SRP Metazoan signal recognition particle RNA